rfam:Drosophila simulans chromosome 2R, whole genome shotgun sequence.
UCCCACAUGGUGUAGUGGCUAGCAUAUAUGGCUUUCACCCAGAAGGCCCGGGUUCGAUUCCCGGUAUGGGAA